rnacentral:rRNA from 1 species
UACGGGAGGCAGCAGUAGGGAAUAUUGCACAAUGGGCGAAAGCCUGAUGCAGCUAUGCCGCGUGUAUGAAGAAGGCCUUAGGGUUGUAAAGUACUUUCAUCGGGGAGGAAAAAACAAAACUAAUAAUUUUAUUUCUUGACGUUACCCGAAAAAGAAGCACCGGCUAACUCCGUGCCAGCAGCCGCGGUAAUACGGAGGGUGCGAGCGUUAAUCGGAAUUACUGGGCGUAAAGGGCACGCAGGCGGUUAAUUAAGUUGGAUGUGAAAUCCCCGGGCUUAACCUGGGAAUGGCAUUCAAGACUGGUUAGCUAGAGUCUUGUAGAGGGGGGUAGAAUUCCAUGUGUAGCGGUGAAAUGCGUAGAGAUGUGGAGGAAUACCGGUGGCGAAGGCGGCCCCUGGACAAAGACUGACGCUCAUGUGCGAAAGCGUGGGGAGCAAACAGGGAUUAGAUACC